rnacentral:rRNA from 1 species
AUUGAACGCUGGCGGCAGGCCUAACACAUGCAAGUCGAGCGGAUGAAGCGAGCUUGCUCCUGGAUUCAGCGGCGGACGGGUGAGUAAUGCCUAGGAAUCUGCCUGGUAGUGGGGGAUAACGUCCUGAAACGGGCGCUAAUACCGCAUACGUCCUGUGGGAGAAAGUGGGGGAUCUUCGGACCUCACGCUAUCAGAUGAGCCUAGGUCGGAUUAGCUAGUUGGUGGGGUAAAGGCCUACCAAGGCGACGAUCCGUAACUGGUCUGAGAGGAUGAUCAGUCACACUGGAACUGAGACACGGUCCAGACUCCUACGGGAGGCAGCAGUGGGGAAUAUUGGACGAUGGGCGAAAGCCUGAUACAGCCAUGCCGCGUGUGUGAAGAAGGUCUUCGGAUUGGAAAGCACUUUAAGUUGGGAGGAAGGGCAGUAAGUUAAUACCUUGCUGUUUUGACGUUACCAACAGAAUAAGCACCGGCUAACUUCGUG